GGGCUGUGAUUCUUCAGUGUAUUCCCGAAAUGUGAACCUCCCGAAUUUCGGGAAAGGGUCGCUGUCCUGAGGCAUAAAUAUUCCAACGUCCCGAACUAUAACUCUCCAUAUUUCGACGUGUUUCGGAAGAUGGCUGAUUUCCAUUAUACGCCAGAUUCGGCAUUAAAGCCGAUUCGGCACUUAUGCCGAUUCUUAUUUUGGUGUCAACAUAUGCAAAAAGA